AUUUUUGUUGUUAUGAGAUGAUAAAACAUGAAUAGUACUUUACUCGUGACUAAUGUUUUUAAUUUUUUUAAAAAAAUUGUCAAAUAAGAUAGACGGUCAAAAUUAGGUGCGGAAAACUAUGGCUGCAUUUAAA
rnacentral:pre_miRNA from 1 species